UCGGUUUGGUUUGGUUCGAUUUGCGGUUUUACUUUUGGAUUGGUUCGGAUACGAUCACCCCUACUUUUAUCCGCUACAGAAACACCUUGUGAUGAGGAUAUUUGUUCAUUGAUACAGUAGUAUGAUAAAAAAAUUAUAUUUUGAAACAAAAAAAAAAAAAAGUUGUCCGUUAUAAUAUAUAAUUAAAGAUAUUAGUGAUUAAAGUUGUGCUACAUGCAAAAAUCCAAAACGAUAAUGGAUAAAGUAAUAUACAUUUGUAGUUUUGGUUAGAGAAUAUUGUUGUUGCUUGUUGUACAAAAAGAAAAUAAAUUCGAAAAUUUU
rnacentral:lncRNA from 1 species